rnacentral:rRNA from 1 species
UGCCAGCGGUCCGGCCGGGAACUCAAAGGAGACUGCCAGUGAUAAACUGGAGGAAGGUGGGGAUGACGUCAAGUCAUCAUGGCCCUUACGACCAGGGCUACACACGUGCUACAAUGGCGCAUACAAAGAGAAGCGACCUCGCGAGAGCAAGCGGACCUCAUAAAGUGCGUCGUAGUCCGGAUUGGAGUCUGCAACUCGACUCCAUGAAGUCGGAAUCGCUAGUAAUCGUGGAUCAGAAUGCCACGGUGAAUACGUUCCCGGGCCUUGUACACACCGCCCGUCACACCAUGGGAGUGGGUUGCAAAAGAAGUAGGUAGCUUAACCUUCGGGAGGGCGCUUACCACUUUGUGAUUCAUGACUGGGGUGAAGUCGUAACAAGGUAACCGUAGGGGAACCUGCGGUUGGAUCACCUCCUUA